UACGGGGGGGGCAAGCGUUGUUCGGAAUUACUGGGCGUAAAGGGUUCGUAGGUGGCCAACUAAGUCAGACGUGAAAUCCCUCGGCUUAACCGGGGAACUGCAUCUGAUACUGGAUGGCUUGAGUUCGGGAGAGGGAUGCGGAAUUCCAGGUGUAGCGGUGAAAUGCGUAGAUAUCUGGAGGAACACCGGUGGCGAAGGCGGCAUCCUGGACCGACACUGACGCUGAGGAGCGAAAGCCAGGGGAGCAAACGGG
rnacentral:rRNA from 1 species